UAAACGUUGGGAACUAGUUGUGGGGUCCAUUCCACGGAUUCCGUGACGCAGCUAACGCAUUAAGUUCCCCGCCUGGGGAGUACGGCCGCAAGGCUAAAACUCAAAGGAAUUGACGGGGACCCGCACAAGCGGCGGAGCAUGCGGAUUAAUUCGAUGCAACGCGAAGAACCUUACCAAGGCUUGACAUAUACGAGAACGGGCCAGAAAUGGUCAACUCUUUGGACACUCGUAAACAGGUGGUGCAUGGUUGUCGUCAGCUCGUGUCGUGAGAUGUUGGGUUAAGUCCCGCAACGAGCGCAACCCUCGUUCUAUGUUGCCAGCACGUAAUGGUGGGAACUCAUGGGAUACUGCCGGGGUCAACUCGGAGGAAGGUGGGGAUGACGUCAAAUCAUCAUGCCCCUUAUGUCUUGGGCUUCACGCAUGCUACAAUGGCCGGUACAAAGGGCUGCAAUACCGCGAGGUGGAGCGAAUCCCAAAAAGCCGGUCCCAGUUCGGAUUGAGGUCUGCAACUCGACCUCA
rnacentral:rRNA from 1 species